rnacentral:lncRNA from 1 species
CUUGUUUCAUAGCUAGCUGAACCUCUCACUUGUACGACAGUCACAUAGAAAUCCAUUAUAUUGACAACAAUGUGUGAGCAAAACAAAUAGACAUAAUAGGUAAAAUUGUCAAACAAAAGGGUACAGCAGUCAAUAUUAUAUUAUAAUCUUAAUCAAUACUAAAACAAAUAGCUAAUCAGCAAAGGCAAACAAAAUUGCAUAAAGAUAAAGUACAUACAUGUAAGCAAAAAUUAAAGACAACAAUUCAAAAAAUGAAACUAGUACAGCGAAGGAUACCAGAGGGACAUUCAAGCCCAUAGAAAAAAAAAUUAAUUGACAACCAUGGCUAAACAAAAAGACAAACAGACAAACAAAAGUAAAGUACACAAGACACAACAUAGAAAACUAAAUAUUUAAGAAACACGAACCCCACAAAAAACUUGGACUGAUCUCAGAUGAUCCGGAAGGGUAAGCAGAUCCUGCACCAUAAGUGGAACCCAUAGUGUUGCUCAUGUAAUACAAACCCAGUAAAUAGUCUUAAUCGGUAGGUCACAUUCGUGGAAAGGGAACAGGAUUCUAGUUACGACAUAAAGAACAUAUCCGAUAACAUCUGCGAAACGGGUAUUUCGUAACAGUCAACUAACUCGUGAUGGCGUCCGUAAAUUUCCGAAGAGAUGUGAAACGGAUAUUCUGUAACGGUCAACCAACUUGUGAUGGCAUCCGUAAAAUUUACGAAGGAAUGAUUUCAUCUUCACCAUUUGGAACUCUUGGUUUAAUAGUUUCCUUGUGAGCAGCAACCCUCUUUUAAGGAAAACACAAGCCUGGGAAUAUCGUAUCAAUUGGGAGAUAUAUACUCCGUAUGCAGAUGCUUCUGGAAUGUGAUACAUAGAAAAGGAAAGUUCACAAUCUGGAAGCCGAAAUUAUCUCUUCUAUCAUAAUUUUUUUUACCAACCGACCCUCAUUGCCAAUUUGUAGUAAGUGAAGAUAUGGG